UUGGAUGGGACGGCUCUUAACCCAAAUGCACCACGUAGUCACCCUCGUGAACUCAGCAGCACUACUGGACUUAAAUUUACAAAGAUACAAGGAGCUCAGAGCAGAGGGCAGCUGGAGCCCACUGCAGCACAUUAAUGAAUGUAUCUAUAGAAAGCAUCGAAACAUAAGGUCGCCAUCCCCCUUCCUCCUCUCCAACAGUCUCCAUCUGCACACCUGCAGCAGAGUUUGUCCUCCAGAGCUGUGGAGUGUGACAAUGGUGUUUGUUUUCUCUCUAUCAAACGCCAUUAUCACACUAAAUAGCUACAGUGCGGAAAGGACCUCAGUGCACUCGCUUCAAGUCGGGGUUUGUGCAGUUGAUUUAUUUUGUCCUAAAUGUUUUGCGCUCUUCAGCUUCUGUACUUUCCAUCCUUAAUGUCGUGGCAGAGGAUGAACACGUGUGGCCGUGUGUCAGAGGUGGUGACAGCACGGGACAUGUUGCACCGCAGCAGGAAAUGCAGGGAUGGAAAUAGACUUAAAAUGGGUUGAAACAUGAUGUCGAGCCCCUAGAAGUGACCCUAGUUAAUUUCUAUUUCUUUAUGUAUUUAUUUUUAUGUCUUUUUUUUUGCAUGUGAAACCAUAGUUUGAUGUUUUCUGUUCUUGAUUAAUUCCAAAAUUUUUGACAUGUAAGCAGUACUUAUGUAUGUAUUAGUUUUACUUGUUAUUCUAUUUAGCACUUUGUGAUUCUAGAUAAAAUAAUAAAGUGGAUGCUCCAAGCUGUU